GGGCCCGUAGCUCAGCCAGGUAGAGCGACAGGCUCAUAACCUGUUGGUCAUGCGUCCGAAUCGCAUCGGGCCCACCA
rnacentral:tRNA from 1 species